rnacentral:rRNA from 1 species
AAACCUCUUUUAGUAGGGAAGAAGCGUAAGUGACGGUACCUGCAGAAAAAGCACCGGCUAACUACGUGCCAGCAGCCGCGGUAAUACGUAGGGUGCAAGCGUUGUCCGGAAUUAUUGGGCGUAAAGAGCUCGUAGGCGGUUUGUCGCGUCUGCUGUGAAAACCGGAGGCUCAACCUCCGGCCUGCAGUGGGUACGGGCAGACUAGAGUGCGGUAGGGGAGAUUGGAAUUCCUGGUGUAGCAGUGGAAUGCGCAGAUAUCAGGAGGAACACCGAUGGCGAAGGCAGAUCUCUGGGCCGUAACUGACGCUGAGGAGCGAAAGCAUGGCGAGCGAACAGGAUUAGAUACCCUGGUAGUCCAUGCCGUAAACGUUGGGCGCUAGAUGUAGGGGCCAUUCCACGGUUUCUGUGUCGCAGCUAACGCAUUAAGCGCCCCGCCUGGGGAGUACGGCCGCAAGGCUAAAACUCAAAGGAAUUGACGGGGGCCCGCACAAGCGGCGGAGCAUGCGGAUUAAUUCGAUGCAACGCGAAGAACCUUACCAAGGCUUGACAUAUACCGGUAACGGCCAGAAAUGGUCGCCGCGCAAGGUCGGUAUACAGGUGGUGCAUGGUUGUCGUCAGCU